UACAGAGGGUGCGAGGGUUGUUCGGAAUUAUUGGGCGUAAAGGGCGCGUAGGCGGUGCGGUAAGUCACCUGUGAAAUCUCCUGGCUCAACUGGGAGCUUGCAGGCGAAACUGCCGUGCUGGAGUGUGGGAGAGGUGCGUGGAAUUCCUGGUGUAGCGGUGAAAUGCGUAGAUAUCAGGAGGAACACCUGUGGCGAAAGCGGCGCACUGGACCGCAACUGACGCUGAGGCGCGAAAGCUAGGGGAGCAAACAGG
rnacentral:rRNA from 1 species